rnacentral:rRNA from 1 species
AGAGCGCACGGUGGAUGCCUAGGCACUAAUAGGCGAAGAAGGACGCGACUAACAGCGAAAUGCUACGGGGAGCAGUAAGUAGGCAAAGAUCCGUAGGUAUCCGAAUGGGGAAACCCACUAGUUAGAAGAGCUAGUAUCGAAUAAUGAAUACAUAGUUAUUCGAGGCGAACCCGGGGAACUGAAACAUCUAAGUACCCGGAGGAAAAGAGAACAAAAGUAAUUCCCUAAGUAGAGGCGAUUGAAAGGGGAGGAGCCCAGCACCAUGAAGAGUUAGAAAAUCUUUUUAUAGUAGAAUUGUAUUGGAAAAGCAAGACAAAGAAGGUGAAAUCCCUGUAUACGAAAUAAAGAGAUCUCGGUGUCGGAGUAGGGCGGAGCACGAGGAAUUCUGUCUGAAUAAGUGAGGACCAUCUCAUAAGGCUAAAUACUCAUUAGUGACCGAUAGUGAACCAGUACUGUGAAGGAAAGGUGAAAAGAACCCCUGGCGGGGAGUGAAAAGAACCUGAAACCGUGUGCUUACAAACAGUUAGAGCCCGUCAAAGGGUGAUAGCGUGCCUUUUGUAGAAUGAGCCGGCGAGUUACGUUAAUGUGCGAGGUUAAGUUUUAAGGGACGGAGCCGAAGCGAAAGCGAGUCUGAAGAGGGCGAAAUAGUAGAUUGACGUAUACCCGAAACCGGGUGAUCUAGCCAUGAGCAGGUUGAAGCUUGGGUAAAACCAGGUGGAGGACCGAACCAGGGUCUGUUGAAAAAGACUUGGAUGACUUGUGGCUAGGGGUGAAAUUCCAAUCGAACCCGGAGAUAGCUGGUUCUCCCCGAAAUAGCUUUAGGGCUAGCGUUAUGGAGAAGAGUUAUACGAAGGUAGAGCACUGAAUGGGUGAGGGCCUCAUCUCGAGGUACUGAUCUCAAUCAAACUCCGAAUGUCGUAUAAUAUACAUAGCAGUAAGACUAUGGGUGAUAAGGUUCAUAGUCAAAAGGGAAACAGCCCAGACCGCCAGUUAAGGUCCCAAAAUUAUGCUAAGUGGGAAAGGAGGUGGAGUCGCAUAGACAACUAGGAGGUUGGCUUAGAAGCAGCCAUCCUUUAAAGAGUGCGUAAUAGCUCACUAGUCGAGUGAUUCUGCGCCGAAAAUGUAUCGGGGCUAAGCAUAAUACCGAAGCUGCGGGAUUAGACAAAGAGUCUAAUCGGUAGGGGAGCGUACUAAACGCGAAGAAGGUUGACCGGAAGGGCAGCUGGAGAGUUUAGCAGUGAGAAUGCCGGUGUGAGUAGCGAUAAGAUGGGUGAGAAUCCCAUCCGUCGGAAGCCUAAGGGUUCCAGGGGUAAGGCUCGUCCGCCCUGGGUAAGUCGGGACCUAAGGUGAGGCCGAAAGGCGUAGCCGAUGGAUAUCAGGUUGAUAAUCCUGGACCACCGUAGAGCUGAAGGAGUGACGGAGGAGGGAAGUUAGGAUGGACUGGUGGAAUAGUCUAAUGAAGCACAAAGAGGGAUACGUAGGAAAAGCCGCGUAUUGAAACCUUGAAGUGUAAACCGCAAGGCCUAAUGGACCACACUUCCAAGAAAAGCUUCUAGGAGUACUUUAUGGUGCCCGUACCGUAAACGGACACACGUAGGCGAGGAGAGAAUCCAAAGACGCGCGAGAUAAUUCUUGUUAAGGAACUCUGCAAAAUGACCCUGUAACUUCGGGAUAAAGGGGACUCUAGAGAUAGAGGCGCAGAAAAUAGGCCCAAGCGACUGUUUAACAAAAACAUAGGUUUCUGCUAAAGCGAAAGCUGAUGUAUAGGAGCUGACGCCUGCCCAGUGCUGGAAGGUUAAGAGGAGAUGUAAGUCGCAAGGCAAAGCAUUGAAUUGAAGCCCCAGUAAACGGCGGCCGUAACUAUAACGGUCCUAAGGUAGCGAAAUUCCUUGUCAGGUAAGUUCUGACCCGCACGAAAGGCGUAACGAUUUGGGCGCUGUCUCAACAAGAAACUCGGUGAAAUCAUAGUACCUGUGAAGAUGCAGGUUACCCGCGAUCAGACGGAGAGACCCCAUGGAGCUUCACUGCAGCUUAAUAUUGAUAUUGGGUGUGUGAUGUACAGGAUAGGUGGGAGACGAAGAAGCGAGUACGCUAGUAUUCGUGGAGUCAACGUUGGGAUACCACCCUUCAUACAUUUAGUAUCUAACUAGUAUCCAUAAUCUGGGUAUAGAACAGUGU